UCUAGAAAGUUAAAGCAUGUGAUAUAUGAAAACAAUGUAGGGUUCCAUCAAGUUCCAAAAAAUAAUACAUGAAUUUAUUGGUGAUGAGAGAAUAAAAUACCCUAAAAAUGUCCUUAUUCUAAUUGCGAGGCAAAUAAAAAAAUAAAAUAUAAAAAAUAUAAAAAAAAAAAGAUGAAGAAAGAAAGAAACUAAGUGCAGAAAAUUAAGGUUUGAAGUUUCCAAGUGGAUUGGAAAUGAACAAUUUUAGUCAUAUUCAGCAAGGAAUA
rnacentral:misc_RNA from 1 species